GCCCCUCCAACAAUACCACCCCACAACACGAGAACUAAUAAUGCCAUGAAUAUAAGGAACCAUUUCUUUUCACAAUAUUGUUGUGUAAAAAUUACAAUAUUCAACCUUACAACGUAUUCUCAAGCAAAGCAUACUUGAAAACAUCAACAAAGAAGUGAAAUUCCAAUACUGAAAUAUGCAAUCCAAAUAUGUAGAGCACUUUAACUUCCAACCAAUGUAGCUGUACAGUACAGAAUAUAGUAGUGCUCUCUCAGCUGCUCAGGAGAACCUUCCGAGGAUCAAGUUGGCCACUACAGUAACUGGAAGGAACAGCAGAAAGUUCAAGUCUUCCUCUCCAUUCUUCCCCAGGUUUUAAUGUAAUAGGCUUUUCAACUGCAGCGGCUUCCACACACAACAUGUGCUUGUAUUCAUCAUCUCCAAAAUCAGCCAUUGCCUUUGCCUUCCUAUCCCAUGGAUUCCACACCACAGCAUCUGGCAGUCCAUCCUUGCGUAGAACAAAUGUUCUCUUUUUUUCAUGAUCCAGAAUUGCUAUCUUUGUAGGAGUGCUGAGAUAUAUCUUGUCAAUUUCUGAUUCAAAAGUUAUAGCAUCCCCUUGCUC
rnacentral:misc_RNA from 1 species